rnacentral:rRNA from 1 species
GGGAUGACACAGUAGGAUAAGCUAAGCACACUGUUGGUUAUGUGUGCCCAAGCAUUGAGGCAGGCAAAGUAGGCAAAUCCGCUUUGAUAAUGCUGGGAUGUGAUGGGGAGCGAAAUUUAGUAGCGAAGUAGCUGAUUUCACACUGUCAAGAAAAGUCUCUAUCGAGGUUAAAG